CAGGUAAGGGGAGCAGGGGUGGUGGUGGCACAGCCCCGAGCGCCCCGAAACUGCUCACCCCUUCCCGGAGCGGUGUUGGAGUGACUUCAGGUUUCGGUUAAAAAAAAAUUAAAAAAUAAAGAAAAAAAAAGAGAUUUUUUCCCCCCAAGUAUGAACAAGCCAGAAAAAUUAAAAUACUCUCGAAAUGAAAUAAGCCUGCUGGUGCGUGAGGUGGUCUGAGUAAAAAGAGAAGAGGAGGGAAAAAAAAAAAAAGGGAGAAAAUGGAAUUAAAUUUCGAACCUACCUGCGAAGUCUUGUUUGUAGUUUUGGUCAGAAAUGGUGACAAGAAAAAGCAUGAAGAAGCCGCGAAGUGGAGGAGAAAAGGUGAAGGGAGAUGCAGCUCCUGGAGAAAUUGUAAAAAGCCUUGCAAAGAGUUGUCGGAAGGACCGUUAUUCCUGCUGGGCAGGUUAGGACUGAUCUCUUUCUGCCACUCCAGGAAACACAAACCUGGGGACGGACUGACGUGUUACGCCUCUUCUAAUGACAUUUUUUUCUUUUUCUUUUCUGUACGAGCGAGAGGAGAGACCCUGCAACACACGCCACCUAUCUUUGUGGGGAGGGAUAAUUGGAGAGCACCAAACAUAUGGAUCAGGGGUGAGAUGGGCUCUUUUCCUGGCUCUGCUCUUCCUUGGAAGUAGCUGAAUGAGCAGAGAGACAGCGUGGACAAGUAACGCGUGGGACUGAACUUCAGUGAGGUUACAAGUUUUUCACCUUUUUCAAUGGGAGAACAGCAUCCACAGGACCCCAAACCUCUUCUCACACCGGGCAGAGAGCAGUGAGCAGCGAACAUCCUCCAUGUACUGUCCCGCACCGUGAGCUGGAGGUGGUUUUCCCUUCUCUUCUGGGAUCAGUGCUGAAGUUCGGCCACAUUCUUUGGCUCAGUUGGCAGUGAUUAAAAUUCACGGCUCACUUUUGUUUAUAGUUGGUUGUUUACUUUGUUG